rnacentral:misc_RNA from 1 species
UAUCAACCCUCAAGCUUGGCUUGUCAUUGGGUCUCGUCGUCGUCAAGGCGACGGUCCCGAAAGGUAAUGGCGGUGUCGUGUUUGACCCCAGAUGCAACGAGCUUUUACAGCACGCAUUGAGGUGGUCUACCGGCCCGGUCUUGUAAUCUAUUUUUCUCAAGGUUGACCUCGGAUCAGGUAGGAAUACCCGCUGAACUUAA